CAGAAAAAUAGUCCAUCACACACUAUUCUGUGUCCAUGGUAAAGUGUGACACACAGGACUGGAAAAGUAGGUGGAGGUCGUGGGUUUCAAGCGGACUGUUCCUAUUUUACAGCACAUUUUCUGUAAUUUUUUCUAUCACACCACUCACAGUCCUCACUAAUGCAGCAGCAAUUUCAGGCCAAUCUAUUACAAUGUUCUCACCUUUCUCAGAAAGGAUAUCUGUAUUAGAGAUACC